UACGGGGGGAGCAAGCGUUGUUCGGAUUUACUGGGCGUAAAGCGCGCGUAGGCGGACCUGCAAGUCGGGGGUGAAAGCCCGAGGCUCAACCUCGGAACUGCCUUCGAUACUGCGGGUCUCGAGUCCGGGAGAGGUGAGUGGAAUUCCUAGUGUAGAGGUGAAAUUCGUAGAUAUUAGGAAGAACACCAGUGGCGAAGGCGGCUCACUGGCCCGGUACUGACGCUGAGACGCGAAAGCGUGGGGAGCGAACAGG
rnacentral:rRNA from 1 species